rnacentral:lncRNA from 1 species
GAGUCAGCUUCGCCUGCUGAACAGCAGCCUGAAGGGGAAGAAGGCAGAGGGACUCCACCUGCAGCUGAUCAGCCUUCAAGGACUCUGAAGUGAAGGCACUGAUGAGAACCAUCUGGCUUCAGUCAGAUGCUGGAAACAGAACGUGUUGUUCCUGAUCCAGUAUUGCUGUUUCUUGAUCCUCUUGACCUUUGAUCAUCAGAUUCCCUGACCCCUGGAGUGUCUGACCACAGGAAUAGUUCUUGCCUGAUCCUAGGACUGGACCUGACUUUGGAUCCGGACUCUGCCUACAGGUAAGUGCACCCCAUAGACUCUGUUGGUUGGCUGGCCUCUCACUUCCCUGAGCUCGCCCAUUGUAGCUCAGCAUGGGACUGUGACAGUAUUGUGUAUAACUUAGGAUGCCCCAUGACCUUGUCCUUUAGACUUAUUUGGUCUCUAAGUUCUGUUUCCAUACCUGACUGUUGCUCCUCACAUCUGAAAUUUCCAGUUGUGACAAUGCGUUAGUAGCCAAAAUUGUGGAAACCUUUUGGGGAAAGUGUAUUUCUGAGGUUUGAUCGUUCGCUUACUGCAUAGAGUGUUCUCCCUUGUGGAGAGCACGUGUUGUGGUGGAGGCUGACAAGACACACGCUGUUGCUGGGCAAAAGAGUUUGGCCAUCUUGAAACAGGGGCAGGCUGUUACCGGGGAGAUUUGUAUGUUGCCAUUUAUUGAUUGAUAGCCCUAUUUGAUAAAUACACUGCACGCAGCGACGGGCUUUCUCUUUUCGCUGCAUGCUUCGGAUCACCCGCCUUCCCUCCCUAAUGUUUAGGCUGUUCACUUGGCCUUGCUAUGCCUGUCAUGGGGUCGUCUGCUUUGGGGCAGGGGCACGGUAGGAAUUUUGUCCAUUUGGCUGAUUAGUGUGUGCCAUUUGGUUUUUGCCUACUGCGUAGCAAAUCGUUACAACUUGUAAGGUUGCGGUUAGGCAUUGGUUUGGGAAUUGGUUGGUGGAGGGGUAUGGAUUUGGCUGUGCCUGCCCCUCCAAAUUACUGCUGCAAGGGUUUUCCAUUAAAGGAACCCAGGGGCUUGCCAUGCUUCGUCCGAACCCCUGGCAAGGGGCUAGGGCCACGCAAGCCCCUGGGAGCAUUCUGGGGAGAGGUGAGGCAUGAUUCCCAGUCCCGUCUCUCUCCCCAGGUGACUUACCCUUUCUGACUUCGCAGGGGGUGCGAAUGUCAGACUGUCCCCAGGCAGGGUCAGUUAGUCGCUACCAAUGCCUAAGCAACCACUCACAUUGCUGUAAUUUAAUAAAGUUGUGGCCAAAAUUAUGCCAAAAACCUUAAACAAAUAUCAAGUGUCAAUUGUGUUUUUAUUUGGGGUGUCUUGGGGACCUUGACGCACAGUACAUUCUUCAUUAAAUUAUCUUUCCAUUGAUACAUAAUUUUAUGGUAUUACUCCCCCCAAAAAGUGGUGUUAUGAGCCUCGGAAAUACACUUUUUCCAAAAGUUCCACAAUUUUGACCACUAGUGUAUUUUAAGUCAACAUAAGGAUAAGGACUAUACCAAAUAUUCUUCACUUAUAAUGCCUAACUUGAAAAUGAUGAUUACAACAAGGGGGUAUAAAUAUUUCUCCUAUCUUCCUUUUAGAGAGGCAGUCAUAAUUUCCAUUAUUUGCUGCUGCUUUUUGCACAUUUCUUCCCUUCUGGUGCCUGACUUCUUUCUCCUUCCUGGAUUGGUCACAUGGGUGACUCCAGCUCAUCAAUAAGUAGUGAGUAGGAUAAUACCUUCCAGGGGAAGGCGACCUGAUGCUCCGCAUCUAUUGCUGAUCAAACAAUUCCCAUCAACCUGAGCCAGCAUUGUCAAUGGUCAGAAGAGAGGAGAAAUGUUGUCUGAAAAAUGUGAAAGGCACCCAAGUUUGCUGCUGUUGUCCUGCACAACUAAUCAGAUAUGCGUACAUAAUAGAAUCGCUGUGGGCAAGGAGAGCAAGAAGAGAGGGCAAUGCUAUGACUAGUCAUGCUUCCCAAAAAAUGGGGGAUUGCCCCAAAAUUGUAAGAAAGUGAAGACAUUUUCAGCACCACUGAAAAUGCUUAUAAAAGAGAAAGAAAGAAAAAAAUGAGUUUAUUUGUAAGAGGG